rnacentral:rRNA from 1 species
AACGAACGCUGGCGGCAGGCUUAACACAUGCAAGUCGAGCGCCCCGCAAGGGGAGCGGCAGACGGGUGAGUAACGCGUGGGAAUCUACCCAUCUCUACGGAAUAACGCAUGGAAACGUGUGCUAAUACCGUAUACGUCCUUCGGGAGAAAGAUUUAUCGGAGAUGGAUGAGCUCGCGUUGGAUUAGCUAGUUGGUGGGGUAAAGGCCUACCAAGGCGACUAUCCAUAGCUGGUCUGAGAGGAUGAUCAGCCACACUGGGAAUGGGACACGGCCCAGACUCCUGCGGGAGGAAGCAGUGGGGUGUAUUGGACAAAGGGCGCAAGCCUGAUCCAGCCAUGCCGCGUGAGUGAUGAAGGCCCUAGGGUUGUAAAGCUCUUUCAUCGGUGAAGUUAAUGACGGUAACCGGAGAAGAAGCCCCGGCUAACUUCGUGCCAGCAGCCGCCGCGGUAU